rnacentral:tRNA from 1 species
CAGAGAAUAGUUUAAAAAAUAUUAAUUUUGGGGAUUAAAGUUAAAGAUAUAAUCUUUUUCUCUGA